GAUGAACGCUAGCGGCAGGCUUAACACAUGCAAGUCGAGGGGCAGCACGGGUAGCAAUACCUGGUGGCGACCGGCAAACGGGUGCGGAACACGUACAGAACCUACCUUUAUCUGGGGCAUAGCCCGGAGAAAUCCGGAUUAACUCCCCAUAGCAUUAUUGGGUGGCAUCACUUGAUAAUUAAAAAUUUAUUGGAUAAAGAUGGCUGUGCGUCCCAUUAGCUAGUUGGUAGGGUAACGGCCUACCAAGGCGACGAUGGGUAGCUGGUGUGAGAGCACGACCAGCCACACGGGCACUGAGACACGGGCCCGACUCCUACGGGAGGCAGCAGUGAGGAAUAUUGGUCAAUGGACGCAAGUCUGAACCAGCCAUGCCGCGUGAAGGAUGAAGGCCUUCUGGGUUGUAAACUUCUUUUAUCUGGGAAGAAAAGCAUUGUUUCUACGAUGUCCGACGGUACCAGAGGAAUAGGCACCGGCUAACUCCGUGCCAGCAGCCGCGGUAAUACGGAGGGUGCAAGCGUUAUCCGGAUUUACUGGGUUUAAAGGGUGUGUAGGCGGGCUAUUAAGUCAGUGGUGAAAUCUCCGGGCUCAACCUGGAAACUGCCAUUGAUACUAUUAGUCUUGAAUCUUGUUGAGGUUGGCGGAAUAUAUCAUGUAGCGGUGAAAUGCAUAGAUAUGAUAUAGAACACCGAUUGCGAAGGCAGCUAACUAAGCAAGUAUUGACGCUGANGCACGAAAGCGUGGGGAUCAAACAGGAUUAGAUACCCUGGUAGUCCACGCCCUAAACGAUGAUUACUCGACAUACGUGAUACACUAUGUGUGUCUGAGCGAAAGCAUUAAGUAAUCCACCUGGGAAGUACGACCGCAAGGNUGAAACUCAAAGGANUUGACGGGGGUCCNCACAAGCGGUGGNAGCAUGUGGUUUAAUUCGAUGAUNNNCGAGAACCNUANCCUGGGCUAGAA
rnacentral:rRNA from 1 species